CAUGUAGGCGGCGCGUCUAGUGCAUGGUGAAAGCCCACGGCUCACCCGUGGAAUUGCUGUGCAUACUGGCGUGCUCGAGGACGGUAGGGGAGAGCGGAACUCUUGGUGGAGCGGUGAAAUGCGUAGAUAUCAAGAGGAACACCAAAGGCGAAGGCAGCUCUCUGGUCCGUUUCUGACGCUGAGGUGCGAAAGCCAGGGUAGCGAACG
rnacentral:rRNA from 1 species